GCCCCCGUAGCCCAAACGGCAGCAGGCAGCGGAUUCAAAAUCCGUCCAGUGUGGGUUCGAGUCCCACCGGGGGCA
rnacentral:tRNA from 1 species